rnacentral:rRNA from 1 species
GUGCCAGCCGCCGCGGUAAUACGUAGGGGGCAAGCGUUGUCCGGAUUCAUUGGGCGUAAAGAGCUCGUAGGCGGUUCAGUAAGUCAGGUGUGAAAGCUCCGAGCUCAACUCGGAGAGGCCACCUGAUACUGCUGUGACUUGAGUCCAGUAGAGGAGCGUGGAACUCCUGGUGUAGCGGUGGAAUGCGCAGAUAUCAGGAAGAACACCUGCAGCGAAGGCGGCGCUCUGGGCUGGGACUGACGCUGAGGAGCGAAAGCAUGGGUAGCAAACAGGAUUAGAUACCCUGGUAGUCCAUGCCGUAAACGUUGGGCACUAGGUGUGGGGAGCCGUCAACGCUCUCUGUGCCGUAGCUAACGCAUUAAGUGCCCCGCCUGGGGAGUACGGCCGCAAGGCUAAAACUCAAAGAAAUUGGCGG